AGUAGUUUCUCCGGAUGAAAACUUGACUCAAUGGCGAAUACUCCUGCAGGCAAAAUUGCUAUCCCAGCCCUGGCGACAACUGCUUACACUGCCAAACAACCCAAAAAGAGAAAGGCGGACCUGUCUAAAAGACAGUCAAAGAGAGAGUCCGACAAUAAACGAAAUAAAACUCGAGUUAAUCUCGGAGAAGCGUUUCAGAGGUGGAGAGAACUUCGCGACAGGAUGGGCUUCAAACUGGAUUCACAGCUCGCAGUUUUCCUCAUCGACUGUUAUGAGAAGACGAGGCUAAAAUCUACACCACAGAAGGUUGGAUACGUUGCCAGACUGCCAGACCCAGCAGCAUCUAUCAUUCUGGCUGAAUCUCUCUGAUGGGUUGGCCACACACUGGUGUUACUGUUCCCUCGCUGCACUUUCAAGGCACUGACUUGAAAAUAAGGGCCUGGAUGGACCUUUUGAACCCUUGAGUCAUCCAGCUGGAGACAGUGUUUCUGUUGGCAGUGACCGCAGCAGGGAGGGUGAGGACCCGCUCCAUGCACGAGAGUGUCUGCAGAGUCACGACAGACAAUGGAGGAACAGUCUGAACCCUGUUCUUGUCCCUGCUGAGGUACUUCACAAACUUCUCCUGGAAGCUGUGAACAAAGGAGUGGGUCUGGUCAUUGAUUUAUCACGGCAGAGAUAUAACAGAUGUUUUAAGUCUACCUGUCCUCACAGGAACACAGAACAAUUUGUUUUAAGAUAUUAUUCACUCUCUUUCUGAGACUAAAAUAGGUAAAUAGGUUAACUAGGCUCUGGAGGUGGAUUAGCAAUUAGCCAAGGCUAGCAAUCACUCUAGCUUGGCAUAAAGACAGGAAGUAGAGGAAAACUAGUUCUGUAAAUGUGGCUGUAACACCUUGCAGAUUUGCAAACACAAACAGAAAGGUAGAAAGAGCAGGUGCUGUAACCACUUCUCAGCAAACAGCCACAGAUUAUGUCAUCAUUGUGAGUUUGCCAGGAAACUCGUGUUAUUUCCAGCAGGUAUGCUAACUCCAUCACAACUCUUUUUUUUUUUUUUUUU